CCAUCAUGUUCAGAUAUGCAGUCAAAUUGCCCAUUUUGUCUCCUAGAAUGGUGAAGCCAUGACCCGCCCUACUCUGCCUCUAAUUGGCUAGUACUUGGUACCUUCACUGAUUAGAUUGGUUAAC